rnacentral:sRNA from 1 species
AUUUGUUCACACCAUCCUUAUUCUUGAGUACCAAGUGGAUCUCCUCUCAAGAGUUAGAAUUUGUAAAUAUGUGAUACAUUCGGUGCAAAGAAAACAAGUUCCAACUAAGCCUCGCCGUGUACCAAGGUUUGGGGAUGCUCAGCGCCCUCUAGAGUCGCAGAAUUCCUGGACCGAUCGAUUUUUUUUUAUUCUAUCCACAGAACAGUAACAGAUGCGUCACCACUUCUGAUAACGCCAACAGCUAUAUAUAAGGACGCAAUGCCUGCCUGUCCUCACGACCCCGGAAAACUUUUUUCAUGGACUGAUGGAGUGUAACGGAGAGAGACUCCGGAGUCUCCGACUGUCUCAAAGGAGAGUUGUAUACUCGUUCAUCGCUUUUAUCAAGGACCUAACACUAACAACGUCGUCCAUCAUUCAUACAAAUUGGGAAAAUUGCCUUAAUUAGUUAAGUAAUAAGAAAUCUUUCUUCGAGUAUUAUGAGGUGAUUAAAUACGGUCGGGACGUGAUCAAAUCCAGUGAAGCCCAUCGGGCUUUAUGAUAGAUGAUUACCUUAUAAUAUUCAAAGAAUGAUUUUUCACCAAAAAUUGUUAAAAUUGAUGUCAUGAAUGCAGAUUUUUGAUCUCGGAAGACGGAAUAGCCGAGCAUAUACCGCACAGGUAUUUUUUUAUUACUAAAAGCGAUGAUGCUUUACUGCGCGAGUGAGUACGGAGAUUGGUACAUGCGCGCAUGCUGCCACAAAUGAUUUAUGCAUUGAUCAUGCCGUGGCGCACGAUUUUAAGUUUAAUUAAACUCACUUGUUUGUUCUAAAAUUCUAAUUUUCCAACAUUGCAACAACCAUGCAAAUAACCCACGGACUGAUCUUAAGGGGGUCCGGACCCCCUCUUUCCCCGGGAAUAUUCAGGCUAGAUUUUUGGGAGUUGAUUUUAAUCAACUCUCCUAUGCAGUUACUCUGGCAAACCGAAAGUGAAACAGUGUUUGGACCUAAGCACAAAUCAUCACCGCUGACAAGACGUAGAUCUUAAAAAUAAUAGAUAAAUUCGGUGUACUGUAUGCUGUACCAUUGUUUUUCAAAAGAAAAGUAUCUAUAAAUACCUUGAAAAUAGUCAGAUUUUAUAUAGUACGAACAAUUC